CACAAGGUCAGGAGUUCGAGUCCAGCCUGGCUAAUAUGGUGAAACCCCGUCUCUACUAAAAAAUGCAAAAAUUAGCUGGGCAUGGUGGCGUGUGCCUGUAGUCCCAGCUCCUUGGGAGGCUGAGGCAGGUGAAUCGCUUGAACCUGGGAGGCAGAGGUUGCAGUGAGCCAACAUUGUGCCACUGCACUCUAGCCUGGACAACAGAGUAAGACUCCGUCUCAAAAAAAAAAAAAAAGGUUGAAAAUCAUACCGAGUGUCUUUUCCUACCGCAAUGGAGGAAAAUUAGAAACCAAUAAUGGUUAGAAAACAGGAAAAUUCACAAAUAGAUGGAAACUAAAUAAUACACUCUUGAGCUACCAGUGGGUCAAAGAGAACAUGAAAAGGGAACUUUAAAAAUAUCUCAAGAUAAACGAAAAUGUUUAAAUGAAUGAUGUUGAAUCUCAGCUGCUUGCCUGACACUGGAACUAAACUUAAUAAGUAGUCUAUGAAGCAGACUUCACUGCCUGCCCACUUAACUGACUGAGUGACUAACUUUACCACCAAUCAUUUCUGACCUGAUGGUCAGGAUGACAGCCUGCUGGGUUGUGUAACCCACCCAGUCAGAGAAGUCAGGGGGUGUUGUCAGAGCAAGUUGCUGCCUAUGCUGCUGCUUCAUGCCUGGGCUCCUCUGCAUUCCAGAUCCAUGCCUAUCCACUCGCUUGAGCACACUUACAGAUGCUAGGAUCAGGUAACCAGCAAAUAAAUAUUCUGAGAUGCCUCCAGCCCCUUCCUAACCUAAGAACCAUCAGUGACCUGCAGAGAGUCCAUGAGCCACUGAGUUUGUGGGUGUGCGCAUGUUGCUGUGGUGAGAGCUUAUGGUUUCCAUCAGAUUCUUGAUGUCAUUGCUAACUUAAAUGUCCCAAAAUUGUCAAAAAAAAAAAAAACACUACUCAAAAGAGACUCCUGCCAAAAAAACGCUCGUGAAUAUCUGCAUAGCCACUGCACUGUACUCUGCUGCUCUUUGGGGUCAAAUGAGGGGGAGAAAGAGCAGGACUCUGAGUUGACCCCCAAGCUCCACUUGGAGCUCUGUUGUUUGGGGCAGCCUCUGAUUCUCGUUAUUCCCAUUCAGUGUCCAGGAGGGGAGGUGUGGGCUGAAGUCUUCCAGAGAAAACCCAGGAGAGCCUGACAGCCUGUCUUGCUGACGGCCUCCUUAUUCCAGCUGACUGUGACUUCUCCCUUCAUGACAGAUACUCUUCACUCUCAACUCAGGGAAAAGGACCCUGACAGGACACCCUCCUGUCGGAGCUAACAGAUGUGCACCUUUGAGAAUGAUCAUUGAGAAGGGAAGCCAUGUGACUUCAUCCUCCGUGGCUCUGGUGGUCUCUUCGACAUCUGUGAGAUACUCACUAAAAGCUGGUUGCGCUUUGAGAUCUGGGUGCCUGCUGGAACCUGGAGCCACAAGUCUUCAUUCAUGCUAAAGAACUCCUGUCUUGGUGGAGAGAACCUGGACCAUGACGCAGGGCCUGAUGCCAGCUUCACUCUGGAUCUGCAGAGUCCUUCCUGCAGUGACCACCACGACUCGUUCUUCAGAUGAGACUCACCCAGGUGCAGUGUGCAACAAGAGAUCUUUUCAGUCUUUCUCUUUUAUCAUCCUCCCUAGCACAUUGAAACUAUAAACUGUGUUCUCACACAAUCCAGAGGCACUGUAAAAUACCUUGCAGAUAUAUAGUACUUUAGUUUCUAACACAUGCCCAUUGUGCUCAAAGAGGCAGAGCCAGUGGGAGAUACACAUGACAAGAUUUAUUGCAGGGAAUUGGUUUAUGUAAUUGUGGGGCCUGGCCAGGCAAGUUCAAAAUCUGUAGGGUGGGCUCUCACGAAAACCAUGCUAGGACUGUCCAGUACAGCCAAGCCCAUGAGUGGAAUUUCUUCUUCCCCAGGGAAGCAUCAGCUUUGCUCUUAAAAUAUUUCAACUGAUUGGAUCAGGCCCACUCAGAUUAUCUGGGAUGAUCUCCUUUAUUUAAACCUAACUAAUAUGGACUUUCUUCAUAUCCACAAAAUCCAUGCAUACCACCUAGAUUCGUGUUUGACUGAAUAACUGGGAACUGUAACCCACCCAAAUUAACAAGCAAAACUGAUCAUCACGCCUAUGUAGUAGAGAAGGAAGAUAUUGCCAUUUACUUUUUUCUACUGGGGAACUAGAAGCAGAGAGAACUGAAAUUAUUUGCCUAAGGACACACAGCUAACUCACUUUUUGUUUUUCAGUUGGAGAAUGGAUUAGCAAUUCCUACUUGGUGUGAUGUUGUGAGGAGUUAAUUAAAUCCAUUCCAGUUGUGUAUGUACAGACCCUCAAUUUUGUAUAAAAAACAUCAGCCAGGUGCAGUGGCUCAUCCCUGUAAUCCCAGCACUUUGGAAGACCGACAUGGGCAGAUCACCUGAGGUCAAGGGUUCGAGACCAGCCUGACCAACAUGGUGAAACUUCGUCUCUACUAAAAAUACAAAAAAAAAAAUUAGCUGUGUGUGAUGGCACAUGCCUGUAGUCCCAGCUACUUGGGGAGGCUGAGGCAGAAAAAUCACUUGAACCCGGGAGGCGGAGAUUGCAGUGCACUCCAGCCUAGGCGACAGAGGGAGACUCCAUCUCAAAAAAAAAAAAAAAAAAAUCCAGCUAUUAGGUCAUGUUCUACCUAUAAAGUGAGCUGAUUUAUAAGAUGUGAGGGUUAUAGACAUUCUCUUUAACUACAGAGGGAGUACACAUUAAAAUAACUUUUUUCAGCAAGUAGUUCCAUUUCCAGAGAUUAGUUUUAUUUCUAUUUUUAUUUAUUUACUUUUUUUAGAUGGAGUUUUGCUCUUGUUGCCCAGGCUGGAGUGCAAUGGUGCAUUCUCAACUCACUGCAACCCCCACCUCCCGGGUUCAAGUGAUUCUCCUGCCUCAGUCUCCCGAGUAACUGGGAUUACAGGCAUGCCCCACCACGCCCGGCUAAUUUUCGUAUUUUCAGUAGAGACGGGGUUUCACCAUGUUGGCCAGGCUGGUCUCAAGCUCCUGACCUCAGGUGAUCUGCCUGCCUUGGCCUCCCAAAGUGUUGGAAUUACAGGCGUGAGCCACCAUGCCCGGCCCAGAUAUCAGUUUUAUAACAAUAUUUUUAAACAUCUAUAAAAACACAUGCACAAAGAUAUUCAUUGCAGUGUUGUUUGUAAGUGAAAAAAAUUUAAAUGUCCAUCAACAGGAGAAAAAGAGAUUGUUAAAUGAAUUAUGAUGUGGUCUAACAGUAGAAUGCUCUAUAUAUAUCGACAAA